rnacentral:rRNA from 1 species
GAUGAACGCUGGCGGUAUGCUUAACACAUGCAAGUCGAACGGAUGUUUUCGGACAUUAGUGGCGGACGGGUGAGUAACGCGUGAGAAUCUAGCUUCAGGUUGGGGACAACAGUUGGAAACGACUGCUAAUACUGAAUAUGCCGAGAGGUGAAAGAUUAAUUGCCUGAAGAAGAGCUCGCGUCUGAUUAGCUAGUUGGUGGGGUAAGAGCUUACCAAGGCGACGAUCGGUAGCUGGUCUGAGAGGACGAUCAGCCACACUGGGACUGAGACACGGCCCAGACUCCUACGGGAGGCAGCAGUGGGGAAUUUUCCGCAAUGGGCGAAAGCCUGACGGAGCAAUACCGCGUGAGGGAAGAAGGCUCUUGGGUUGUAAACCUCUUUUCUUAGGGAAGAAAAAAAUGACGGUACCUAAGGAAUAAGCAUCGGCUAACUCCGUGCCAGCAGCCGCGGUAAUACGGAGGAUGCAAGCGUUAUCCGGAAUGAUUGGGCGUAAAGCGUCCGCAGGUGGUUUAUCAAGUUUGCGGUUAAAGGUUCUGGCUCAACCAGAGACAGGCCGUGAAAACUGAUAGACUAGAGUAUGGUAGGGGCAGAGGGAAUUCCCAGUGUAGCGGUGAAAUGCGUAGAGAUUGGGAAGAACACCGGUGGCGAAAGCGCUCUGCUAGGCCAAAACUGACACUGAGGGACGAAAGCUAGGGGAGCGAAUGGGAUUAGAUACCCCAGUAGUCCUAGCCGUAAACGAUGGAUACUAGGUGUAGCUUG